AGUGAACGCUGGCGGUAGGCCUAACACAUGCAAGUCGAACGGCAGCACAGUAAGAGCUUGCUCUUACGGGUGGCGAGUGGCGGACGGGUGAGGAAUACAUCGGAAUCUACUUUUUCGUGGGGGAUAACGUAGGGAAACUUACGCUAAUACCGCAUACGACCUACGGGUGAAAGCAGGGGAUCUUCGGACCUUUCGCGAUUGAAUGAGCCGAUGUCGGAUUAGCUAGUUGGCGGGGUAAAGGCCCACCAAGGCGACGAUCCGUAGCUGGUCUGAGAGGAUGAUCAGCCACACUGGAACUGAGACACGGUCCAGACUCCUACGGGAGGCAGCAGUGGGGAAUAUUGGACAAUGGGCGCAAGCCUGAUCCAGCCAUGCCGCGUGGGUGAAGAAGGCCUUCGGGUUGUAAAGCCCUUUUGUUAGGAAAGAAAAGCAGCAGGUUAAUACCCCGCUGUUCUGACGGUACCCAAAGAAUAAGCACCGGCUAACUUCGUG
rnacentral:rRNA from 1 species